rnacentral:rRNA from 1 species
GACGUAGGGCGCGAGCGUUGUCCGGAAUUAUUGGGCGUAAAGAGCUCGUAGGCGGUGUGUCACGUCGGCCGUGAAAACCUGCAGCUUAACUGUGGGCGUGCGGUCGAUACGGGCAUCACUGGAGUUCGGCAAGGGAGACUGGAAUUCCUGGUGUAGCGGUGAAAUGCGCAGAUAUCAGGAGGAACACCGGUGGCGAAGGCGGUAUCCUGGACCGGCAUUGACGCUGAGGCGCGAAAGCUAGGGGAGCAAACGGG